ensembl:lncRNA
CAAGGAUGGGCCGAGGCUCGCCAAUCCGAGAACAGUAUAAUAUAAUACAGGGAUGAACUGAAUCUUCAAAUGAAUCUUUCUGUUAUUUUUUUUUUCAAUUUUCCAUACUCUCACAACUUUUUUGUACCAACUUUUUUUGAUUCUUCAGCGUCUCUCUUCUUUGUGUUUUUGUCCUGUUACACACCGAUGACCAACUUUCCGUCACGUUCCUUUUACAUUUCAUAUGAAAUCAGAGCAACAGCUGCCGUGAUACCCUGAGGGAAGAGGAAACAACAGCUAUAGAUCAGUAUUUCACUGACAGACUGGAGAGGUGAGGUCAUGGAAAUGUGAAAUGAAAACAAAGUGCUUGUCUCGCAAUACAUCUUUAUUCGUAUUCAAGCUCAAGAUCGAGAAACAAGGGCUACUGUGUGCCAUAACAUGUACCCUGAGCCUUACUGCUGAUGUAUCUGUAACAAAAUAGGAGCUGACUCCAUCAUUUAUUUUUAUGUUUACUACUAUAUUGGUGAUUCCAUGAUUGAAGUGUCAUUGUGGUGUGGAUAUAUUACAAAUAUGUGUGUAAAGUAAAGCUAAUAUACAUUUUAAACAACAUAUUAUACAUUAAUUAAACAUACAAAACCUAAAAACAGGCACUUUACUUUGAAAUAUAACUUUAUUAUUUUUCCAUUAAUGGGUGAAUUUAUUUAUCGUUGUAUGAGGCCACGCCAUACCUCCAGCAGCCAGCAGAGAGCAGCAGCAGUGUACAGUGAGCGCAGCCGUUCAAGAGAAUUCACUUACCCAUAACCCUCCAGGCUGAUUAACCUGACCUGGAUUGCCUGCACCUGCCAGGCAGGGUAUUUAAGGGCAGCCUAAGUGGCUGUUCUGUGUCCCAUGUUUGUAGAGGAGAAACUGGUCCGGUCCGGUCCGGUCCGGUCCGGUCUGGUCCGGUCUCGUCUGGAACGAAGAGGCAAAAGAACUAUAAGGAUCAAAAAGAGAAGAAACUGAAAAAAGCUUUCUUGGAAAGAAGAGAAAACUAAGGAAGCCUAUUCCCUUCGAUGUCUCCUUUGCUUGGUUUUUCCCGCCUUUUCCCUCUACACUCUCAAAGCACAGAGAUCCCUGGUGUGAUCCUCGCUUGGGGCUUCCUAGUCAAAGUGCACUACUCUCACUCUUCCUGCAACCUUAUUACUUCUUCUAUAAACCCUGUUUGACCAUUAGCAUACAGGUGGUUUUCCACUGUGAUUGGGCCCACCUUAAUCUGUCCUGUUACAAUCAUCUCAUGUUUCAAACAUCCUUUUCCAUUAUCGGUUAUAAUGCUUAAAAUGAACGUCUUAGUUCAUUCAUUACAUUUUGCCAAGUCACAUAUUUAGCAGGAAGUUGAAAUUUCCUGAAGAUCACAUGAAGAAGGAGUUCUUCAUUCUUUAUUUUCUUGCAAUUAGCAUGGAUGCUAGCCAACCACAUUUUGUGUGUUUGCUAAUUCUAUGCUAAAAAAAAAAAAAAAAAUUCUCAACCAUGUUAUUUCAACCCUGUUACUCAUUUUAGAGCAAAAUACAGCAAAGGAAAGUUAAACAACACAAUUAUGGAAUCAUCCAUAGGCCAACAACCUUUUCGGUGGACGGUAACCAUUAGCAUUAACAUUUUCACAAAAUCUUCCGUUAAAGUUUUACCACUUAGCUCUAUGUCUAUAUGUGAGGUGUGUGACAUUAAGAGCUACAGAAUAACAAACUUAGAUUUUUAAUUGAAAGAAAGAAGGGAUAAGUGAGAAUUAGAAAUGACAAGUAACGUGCAGAAAUGUCACCUGUCCGUCAUCAGAAAACCCCGCCCACAGAGACUGUCCCUCAAAUAAACGAGAUAGACUCCACUGCACAAAUAAACUUCCAAGGUGUGGAGAUGGACCUGAUUCAAGUCCUUUUACAAUUCCUAACCCCUGUACGCUGUACAAUACCGAACAACACAUAUAACACAUUUAUCCAGGCUGAAACACACAGUUGCAUGUGUCCACCCCCAUGAACUUUUGGCUUGACUCCACUGGGAUAGGAGGAGCUAGAUCAGCUCCUGGACUUUUUG